ACAGAAAGAGCCCGAGGGCGUAGAUGGUCCCUGGGGAGGGAGGUCUGCCCUGGACUGAAUUCUUGGCUUCUGGGUCUCUGCACAGCCAGGUGCCCCCGGAGGCUGCAGCCAGCCCACGAGGGAGCCCAUGAGGGAGCCCAGGUGUCUUGGUCCUCAGGAGCCCCCAGAGGCAGCCGCGAAGUCCCCCACCCCUGCCUGAGGGCUGAAGACAUGCUGUAUCCCAGUGGCCUGCAGGGCACCCCAGCCCUUAAAGUGGGUGCUCAGCUGACUCCAAGCAGCAGGAGGGUCCAGCGACCCUCUCCCUUACCACCCACCCCUCCACCCUCCCGCCUCGAACCGUCACACCGACUGCGUUUAAAGAAAAAAUAAUAUUUAUUUGCAAUAUAAACAAAGUCCCGUCGCUGGCUCGGGAUAUA